CAGCAGCCGCGGGAAUACGAAGGGGGCUAGCGUUGCUCGGAAUGACUGGGCGUAAAGGGAGCGUAGGCGGAUCGUUAAGUUGGGGGUGAAAGCCCGGGGCUCAACCUCGGAACUGCCUUCAAUACUGGCGAUCUUGAGUAUGAGAGAGGUGUGUGGAACUCCGAGUGUAGAGGUGAAAUUCGUAGAUAUGCGGAGGAACACCGAUGGCGAAGGCAGCCCCCUGGGCCAAUACUGACGCUCAUGCACGAAAGCGUGGGGAGCAAACAGGAUUAGAGACCCCCGUAGUCCCUGUCUCUUAUAC
rnacentral:rRNA from 1 species